rnacentral:rRNA from 1 species
UACGAAGGGGGCUAGCGUUGUUCGGAUUUACUGGGCGUAAAGCGCACGUAGGCGGAUCUUUAAGUCAGAGGUGAAAUCCCAAGGCUCAACCUUGGAACUGCCCUUUGAUACUGGGGGAUCUUGAGUCCGGGAGAGGUGAGUGGAACUGCGAGUGUAGAGGUGAAUUCGUAGAUAUCGGAAGAACACCAGUGGCGAAGGCGGCUCACUGGACUGGUAUUGACGCUGAGGU